rnacentral:piRNA from 1 species
UGUGACCAAGGCCCAAGAUCAGUCGGCAGC